rnacentral:lncRNA from 1 species
CGUUCAGCCGCCAUCUCCAUGGUCCCGCCCCGCCGGCCUCCUGGCAGGCACUUUAAAAGCAGUGGGUCCGCCAGGCGGCCCUGCCGCGCUGCCUCUGCCAUGGCCCGGCUCGAUAGGUCGGUCGUUGUUGCUGCCGGCAUCUCGGGAGGAGCGUUCGAUUCUUCCUCACGGAACGCGCCCGAAGCAGCUGCAUGAACGGCUUCCAGGCGCCCCUCAGCCCACCGGGAGCCUCCCAGACCCGCUCCGGUGCUGAGCCCGCCCUGAGGAGCGAGCAGUGCUGGGCCCGGUGUGAUUUGUGCUCUCCGUGGCUCAGAGGAACGUGCAGGAUCGCUGCUGGCAAAGUUUAGGGAAGGUAGAAUAAUGAUGUACUGCUGUGACUAUUUGUUGUGAAAAGCAUGGGGCCUUGAAU